GACCUGACCUUGUUCGUGAAGACAGAGGCAAAAAAAGCAUUGAGUACAUUAGCUUUUUCCACAUCCUCUGUCACUAGGUUGCCUCCCUCAUUCAGUAAGGGGCCCGCACUUUCCAGUCAAGCACAGGGGAGCCUGCUGCAGGGUGUGACGAAGUGGGACUGUUCUUAAUGUUUCCUCUGAAUAGUGUGGGGGUGCCUCAGUUUCCCCUAGGCAGUUCUUAAGUAUCUAGGGGGUGGAGUAAGGGUGUCUGAUCAUUGCAGAGCCCUAGAGGGCAUGUGUGUGCAGGAGUCUGGACACAGAGAAUGGCCAACACCCUGUUUCCUGGCAACUGAUGGCCUGGGCCCUUCCCCCCCUGCAAGGUGAGAGCUGAAGGGUUGGAGAACAAAGGAAUCAGGUGACCACCUGGCCCGGGAAAGGAACAAAGCCCAGAGGAGGAGGGGCUGGAGGGGGUUUUCAGUUUGGGGCUGGCUAGGACAUGGAGUGAAGUGCAGACGUGGUUGUCUGGCUCACUGCCCCCCAAAAUGGACCCAGCUGAGGGGUCCCGUUCUCUGCACCUGCAAGCUCUGUUUUAGACCAUGUUCCUGUCGUCUAAUAAACCUUCUGUUUUACUGGCUGGCUGAGAGUCACGUCUGACUGUGAAGUUGGGGUGCAGGACCCUCUGGCUUCCCCAGGAGCCCCGCCUGAGCGGACUCGGUGGGGGGAAGCGCACGGAGGGGCAGAGGAUGCUGAAUGCUCCGAGGUCAGACCCAGGAAGGUGGAAGCUGUGUGAGCUGUGUGUCCUGAAGACAGGCUGCUCACAGAAAGGCGACUGCCCCAGAGUCCUGACUGGCUUCAUGGGGAGCAGUUCCAGAGCAUCGCCCAGGGACUCCGUGACAACUGGUGGCAGCGGUGGGAUGUACUGCACCCCGUGGAUGGCGCUUCCUGCAGUAAGUGACUGGGGAGCAGUAACACGAAGGGGGAUUGCCGAGGACCAGGCCUGCUGAAGGCUCAGAGAGGAGCGGUUUCCGGGGGCGGUUAACCCCUGGGAGUGUGUGACCAGCGAGAAGGACUGUGCAGUAAUGGGGUCCCCCUGGGGACUGCAGUGAGCAGUCUCAGGGGCGGAGGAGCCUGCAGCUUGGCCCGGGGAGAGAGAAGGACUUUUGCAGUAACAGGAUGUGACGAAGUGGGACUGUUCUUAAUGUUUCCUCUGAAUAGUGUGGGGGUGCCUCAGUUUCCCCUAGGCAGUUCUUAAGUAUCUAGGGGGUGGAGUAAGGGUGUCUGAUCAUUGCAGAGCCCUAGAGGGCAUGUGUGUGCAGGAGUCUGGACACAGAGAAUGGCCAACACCCUGUUUCCUGGCAACUGAUGGCCUGGGCCCUUCCCCCCCUGCAAGGUGAGAGCUGAAGGGUUGGAGAACAAAGGAAUCAGGUGACCACCUGGCCCGGGAAAGGAACAAAGCCCAGAGGAGGAGGGGCUGGAGGGGGUUUUCAGUUUGGGGCUGGCUAGGACAUGGAGUGAAGUGCAGACGUGGUUGUCUGGCUCACUGCCCCCCAAAAUGGACCCAGCUGAGGGGUCCCGUUCUCUGCACCUGCAAGCUCUGUUUUAGACCAUGUUCCUGUCGUCUAAUAAACCUUCUGUUUUAC